GAUGAACGCUAGCGGCAGGCCUAACACAUGCAAGUCGAGGGGUAGAACACUUCGGUGUUUGAGACCGGCGCACGGGUGCGUAACGCGUAUGCAAUCUACCUUGUACAGGGGAAUAGCCCAGAGAAAUUUGGAUUAAUGCCCCAUAGUAUAUAACCUUCGCAUGUUGGUUAUAUUAAAGUUCCAACGGUACAAGAUGAGCAUGCGUCCCAUUAGUUAGUUGGUAAGGUAACGGCUUACCAAGACGAUGAUGGGUAGGGGUCCUGAGAGGGAGAUCCCCCACACUGGUACUGAGACACGGACCAGACUCCUACGGGCGGCAGCAGUGGGGAAUAUUGGUAAAUGGGCGCAAGCCUGAACCAGCCAUGCCGCGUGAAGGAAGACGGUCCUAUGGAUUGUAAACUGCUUUUAUACAGGAAGAAACAACUCUACGUGUAGAGUCUUGACGGUACUGUAGGAAUAAAGAUCGGCUAACUCCGUGCCAGCCGCCGCCGUAAUAC
rnacentral:rRNA from 1 species